rnacentral:tRNA from 1 species
AUUAGGAUAGUUUAAUUUAGAAUGAUAACUUGUGGCGUUAUAGGUGAGUUAAUACUCUCUUUAUC